rnacentral:rRNA from 1 species
UACGUAGGGUCCGAGCGUUGUCCGGAAUUAUUGGGCGUAAAGGGCUCGUAGGCGGUUUGUCGCGUCGGGAGUGAAAACUCAGGGCUCAACCCUGAGCGUGCUUCCGAUACGGGCAGACUAGAGGUAUGCAGGGGAGAACGGAAUUCCUGGUGUAGCGGUGGAAUGCGCAGAUAUCAGGAGGAACACCGGUGGCGAAGGCAGAUCUCUGGGCCGUAACUGACGCUGAGGAGCGAAAGCAUGGGGAGCGAACAGG